ACCUGUGCUGUCCCAGGGCCUGGCCCUUUUGGGCGGCACUUCCCAAACUAUGGCCUCCUAAGGCAUUGGUAGUUUCCACAAGAAGUUGUCAGUAGCUGACUGUUACAAUGAAGUUAAACCUAUCUAGUGCCAGGCACCUUGCAAAGCUGCUUACAUUAGCUCACUUAAUUCUAUUCAACAAGGAUGGAAGAUGGGGACUGUUAUUUUUCAUUCUACAGAUAAAGAUCCCAGAUUUAAAAAUUAUAGCAUGCCAAAGGUUACACAUACAGAAAGUAGUGGAACUGAAGUGCAAACCCGAUGUCAAUCUUAUUCUGAAGCCUUGGUCACAACCAUUACACGUACUGCCUCUCGGUUUCUACAGUUAAGCAUCAGAAUGUACAAGGACCAGUUUUGCUCUGAGAUUUUAGAGAGUAAAUAUUUCUGGCUAAAAGUCACCCCCUCCCCCGCCGCCCCCACUGGAGUGCUGUAAUGUAGAAAGGAAUAACAAAGUGUGCUCUUAGUCAUCAUCCCCUUCCAGAGCAGCUGGACGACACUUCCUCUGCCAAUGACAGCCACGCAAAAGACACGAGCUCCCAAAGUGAGUCUGACAUCACACAAGAAUCACCUUUUACAUCAGCUGAUACUGGGAAUUCAAGGUCUGCUUUUCCAAGUUAUACAGGCACAGGGAUCUCUACUGAAGGCAGCUCGGACUUCUCCUGGGGAUAUGGAACUUGAUCAAAAUGCCACUGAGAAAGUCCAGGCAAUGUUCACAGCCAUUGAUGAGCUCCUGUAUGAGCAGAAGCUGAGUGCACACACCAAGAGUCUACAGGAGGAGUGCCAACAGUGGACAUGCAGUUUUCCUCACCUCAGGAUUUUGGGUAAGCAGAUAAUCACUCCAAGUGAAGGUUAUGGACUGUAUCCCAGAUCCCCUUCUGCUAUUUCAGUUUCACAUGAGGCAACACUGUCUCAGGAAAGAGAUUCUACUAUAUUUGGUAUCAGGGGAAAGAAGUUACACUUUUCAAGUCCUUAUGUUCAUAAAGCAUCUUCCAUUGCCAAACCCCCUAGCCUGUGUUCUAUGGGAAAAGAAGAGGAAGACUGUGUAAUCCUCUCUGAAGGGAUAAUAGAGGAAUAUCUAGCAUUUGACCACACAGAUACGGAAGAGGGGUUUCAUGGAAAGAAAGCAGAAGCAGCUACAGAGAAACAGAAAUUAGGGUAUCCUCCCAUUGCUCCAUUUUACUGCAUGACAGAGGAUGUCCUUGCUCACGUGUUUGAUGACGUGUGGAGCAAGGUCCUGAGCUGCAUGGAGCAGUUGACACGUACUCACUGGGAGGGAUUUGCUUCUGAUGAUGAGAGUAAUGUUGCAAUCACCAGAUCGGCUUCAGAAAGCCCCUGUGUACUAAGUGAACCACAACCUUUGGUCUUACCUCGAGUGCCACAGUCUAAAGUGCUGUCGAUGACCUCAAAUCUGAUGAGUCUCUGUCAAGCAGCAAGUGGUCAUCAGCCAAAUGUGAACGGUCUCCUGGUUCAUGGGAUGCCUCUACAGCCAAGAAAUCUCUCCCUGAUGGACAAAAUCCUAGAUCUCGAUGACAAGCUACUUAUGAGGCCUGGGUCCAGUACCACCCUUUCGACCCGAAAUUGGUCAAAUCGAGCCCUAGAGCUUUGUACAUCAUCUCUGUCAUAUACAGUGCAGUCCGCCAGGAGGCGCAACCCCCCACCACGAACCCUGCAUCCCAUCAGCACAAGCCAUUCCCGAGCUGGAACACCAAGACCUGUGGAAGAAAUCCUCAGAGGAUCCCGAGUCCAAAUGGUGGCUGACUCCCUCUCCUCUCCCUCACCAAUGCCCCUGAGCAGAAAUAAUCUGCUGCCACCCAUUGGCACAGCCGAAGUGGAACACCUGAGCACUGUGGGGCCACAAAGGCAAACGAAAACCCACGGUGAUGCUAAUCGUGCUCGAAGUGCAGUGGUGGAUGAGCCUAAUCAUCAGCAGCCCCAGGAGAGGCUCCUUUUACCUGACUUUUUCUCCAGGCCCAACACAACUCAGUCAUUUUUGCUGGAUAUGCAAUGUCAUUCAUGCACGGCCGAGUAUCCUCACCAGGCCCGACCUGGGAGGGCCUCUGCAGGGACAGGUCCUCAACCACAUGGGUCUACAAAGUCUCAAAACAGAAGUGGGCCAGUCUCUAGAACCAGGCAGGGACCAUAGGGCAAAUGGGAAGAACCUGCUUCAGGCUGCAGCAAACACGUGGGAAGAUUUCAUAAGCCAGUGUUCGUGUGAUGCAGAGUUUGUAUGGAAGAGACAACUUGAAACUAUCUUCAUGGAGAGUUAUUUUGGUACAAUUGCUAAGAAAAGAGUAUCCGCCAAAGAUUACAUGGGUACUGUUUCUGUCUCUAGUUAGUCUUCUUUCAGCUUUAAGUUGAACUAUUCCAAAAGACAGUAAAGUUUGUACCAAAACAUAUAACAGAAGAAUAAUUACUCCCAAGUCACUGCUCAUGUUGGCUGUUAACAAUGAACAGUUCAAUUAUUAUAGGAUUCCAUAAGACUGUACAAAAAGCAGCAAAUUAUUGAUAACAUUCAGUCAUCACUGGCUUUGAAAUACUUCUGCUUAUAUUAAUUUCCAGAGAGUUGUACUCAGUUUUAAGUCAUUUUUAGCUCACAGGGCUGUCAAAAAUCUGAACUCAUCAAACAGAUGUCAUUCCUAAAGCUUUCUCGUUAGAUGCCCAGCCCCACAGAUAGAUACAGAAGGGGUGAGUAGCUUAAAAAUGUCAAUGUUAAACACUGGUGUAGAGUAGCAUAGGUAACCGUAAUGCACAUUACUUUUUUCAGACAGGACAGCUCAACCUCACAAUGACUGUUUGGUAUUAGGUUAUACUGCUUUUCUUUAGUGGUCAUAUUUUUCUCAUAUAUUAAACUCAACUUGCCAGAUUUUCUCCUUCAGCUCUAGAAGUCAAUUUACAAAUUUAUAGAAUCUAUUAGUGAGCCAGAAAGAUGCAAUUCCCUAAAAUUUCAGAUGGUGAUUAUUCCAGCAUAAACAUAUCCUAAGAGCAGAAGCAAAGAACUUAGACAGUCUUCUAAUUUUACCCCAGACCUUCUCCUGAGUGCACCCAUGAAUGCAGCAACAGCUUGAACUAUGGCUUUAUUUUAUUUAAAUUUCAUUCAACUUUAAUGACCAUACCAGUUUUAGAUCUUAUUGUUAAUCUUCAGAGGGAUAAAUUCAAGUGAUCAUAAGGUGGGGUAAUUUUUGUAUUAUAUCAAAGUCUUCUAAUGCUAUCAUAUGAAGACAGAUGCUUCAAACAACCUGCAUUAAAUUAUAUUUUAAUACAAUUAAAGAGUAUAUUUUUUAAUCUGUGUAUAGUCCACAAACUGAAAACAUGUCAUGUGCUUGCUUAUCUGAUAAAUUAUGAUACAUAAAGCUCAGUAACAGAAGGCUUAUUUCAUGCAUAUGGCAUUGAAAAUAUUACUCUACAAGCCAGAGAUUUUAAGUUGAACAGUCCCUAAAAUCCUUCCAUAUAUUCUAAUGAAUACAUACAAUUCGAUUACACAUAAGUGAAAAUCUCUGUACCAUUCUUGCAAAUCAAUACCAUGAGUGCACGAAAACAAACCACUGAUGGCUUGUCUUU